AGCAACGAAUCAUGAGAUUCUGAAGCACAUCAAUAAGUUUACCUCCGAGGAAGUCCAUGACUUUAGAAUAAUUGAUGAUGGAUUGUACAGAUUUUGAGAUCGAAUAUGGGUACCUAAGAACAUCUGACCUUAGAUCAGAUAUUCUGAAGGAGGCUCCCACACCAAGUUAUCCAUCCACCUUGGAAGUAUAAAAAUGUAUCAAGAUCUAAGACGCCAUUACUGGUGAUCUAGUAUGGAGAAAGAUAUUAUUGAGUAUGUCCCUCGUUGUCUUGCUUGAUAUGGGAUUAAGGAAGAGCAUUACAGGCCUGGUGGUCGUUUGU
rnacentral:lncRNA from 1 species